GACGAACGCUGGCGGCGUGCUUAACACAUGCAAGUCGAACGGGCCUUGUCCCCUUUUUUUUGGGGGUGGGGCUAGUGGCGAACGGGUGAGUAACACGUGAGUAACCUGCCCCUCACUUCUGGAUAACCGCUUGAAAGGGUGGCUAAUACGGGGUGUUCUGGCCUGCUCGCAUGGGUGGGUUUGGAAAGAUUCGACCGGUUUUGGUUGUUUUGGUGGGGGAUGGGCUCGCGGCCUAUCAGCUUGUUGGUGGGGUGAUGGCCUGCCAAGGCUUUGACGGGUAGCCGGCCUGAGAGGGUGGGCGGUCACACUGGGACUGAGACACGGCCCAGACUCCUACGGGAGGCAGCAGUGGGGAAUAUUGCACAAUGGGCGCAAGCCUGAUGCAGCGACGCCGCGUGAGGGAUGGAGGCCUUCGGGUUGUGAACCUCUUUCGCCAGUGAAGAAGGUCCUGCUCUUUGUGGUGGGGUUGACGGUAGCUGGGUUAAUGAAGCGCCGGCUAACUACGUG
rnacentral:rRNA from 1 species